rnacentral:lncRNA from 1 species
CUAGAAUUUGGUUGGAAGUUAUAAAGAUUUAAAAUUUGUCGUCAUCUUCUAUUCGUUUCUUUCUUUUUGUUGUUCUUUUCUUUCCUUUCCUUUUCUUUUCUCUUUUCGAUUCUUUUAUUUUUCUUUUUCAUUUUGAUCACGGUCAUAAGCAUGGGUCUAGACGAAGUUAUACGUCGUUAAUUGUAUCGAUCAAAAGGUUAUUGAGUAAGUUUCACCAUCAAUUCAGUAAAUUCCGUAGUUUCUUUUAUUGUUUUCGUAGAAUGUUCUAAAUUCGGCAUCUCGAGCGUAUUGUGUAGUUUCUGAUAAUUAGUCGUUUGGUUUCCUCUUAGUCGGGGAUAUCGAGAGUAGCAUACCUCAACUCAACAAUUCAAGUGACCAUUGUUGACCUUCCGGUAAGUUUGAUUUCGUUGGAAGGUUUCAUGUCGAAACCUUCGACAUAAAGUAUUAUGUGUAUAGGUGUGCAUUAUUGUCGAUAAAGUUGGUUGGCUGAGUUAUUGGAUGGUCAUUUUAGGCUUCGGAGAUCCUCUACAUUGUUAUUGCUUCGAAAUCUCUUCAAGUGCGUACCGAAAACCUUAAAUUUUGUGAAUCUUAGGCACCGAAAAACAUGGCUGUCGAUGCCACAUGGCCGUGUGAUAGGCCGUGUAACACACUACUUACCAAAUUCGAGCCACCUGGGUAGGGGACACGGACGUGUUCCCCCAUCAUGUGUGGGCAUGCUAAUGUAGGGUUCACACGGGCCAAGGACACAGGUGUGUGUGUGCAGGCCGUGUAUCUCGUUGAGUACAAGAUAAGGACCACCCAGGCCAGAGACACGAGCGUGUGUCCAGGUCAUGUGGCUUACUGUUUGAGAUUUAGGAUCACGCGAGUAGACCACAGGGGCGUGUGUUAGGCCGUGUAAGACACACGGCUGAUCACACGGGCGUGUGCCAGGCCAUGUGGAAUCACACGAGCAUGUGGGUCAGUUUUAGAAGUCAUCUAUGGGGUCGUAAGUGUUGUUAACGCAAAUGUAAGCUGUCUGUAAUGUAUAUGUAUGAUCUGAAUUUGGUCGUAAGAUUGUUAUCUAAUAAUUUGAGAUUGAGAUUCUGAUUAUACAAAUGUUUACUGAAUCUGAACGACUGUGUGUACAUUUUGACAUGUGUAAUCUGUAACUGCAUUAGGUGGGAAAUCAUGUAAAGAAGCAAGUGACCUGUUCUGAUUCGGUGGCUAGACCACUACUUAUAUGUGAGUUCAGCGUUACUCGCCUAUUGAUCUGGAAGCUAGGUUGCAAACAUUCUGAAAAGUGUCAUAUUGACACUAAGCGGUGUGUAAGGCAUGAGGGGUAUUCUAUACCCUAAAUGAUGUGUUGGGAUGGACGGAGAUGGUGUGUAGAGGAUUGGGGUAGGAAUAACUGCAUUUGUUUCUGAUUUGUUCUGUAUCUGAACUGGAACUAUUCUAUUAUAAAAUUGAUACAAUAAAUCCAUACUAAAUGUCUUCUGAUUCUGAUUGGAACUUGAGAUCCGAUAACUACUUUUAUCAUUGUGCUUUAGUUAAAUCUAUUACUGUUAUGCAUUGGGUUUACAACUCAUUUUGUGUUGACUGAAUUUUAGGUGGGUCGCAGACUUGAUCGGGUCGGCGUAGUGGAAGCUCAGUCAAUCACUUUAUCACCCUUUAAUUAUACUAUUAGUAAAUUUCAGUAUUCUCUAGUAAUACGAUCUUUGAUGACGGUUGAAUGUUGGUUGAUUCUAUGAUUGCUAUAACGUGUUGAAUGAUUUUC